ACAGAGGUCUCAAGCGCUGUUCGGAUUCAUUGGGCGUAAAGGGUGCGUAGGCGGCGAGGUAAGUCGGAUGUGAAAUCCCGGGGCUCAACCCCGGAACUGCAUUCGAUACUGCUUUGCUUGAGUAUGGGAGAGGAACGUAGAAUUCCAGGUGUAGCGGUGAAAUGCGUAGAUAUCUGGAGGAAUACCGGUGGCGAAGGCGGCGUUCUGGACCAUUACUGACACUGAAUCGCGAAAGCUAGGGGAGCAAACGGGA
rnacentral:rRNA from 1 species